CCUACGGGAGGCAGCAGUGGGGAAUAUUGCACAAUGGGGGAAACCCUGAUGCAGCGACGCCGCGUGAGCGAAGAAGUAUUUCGGUGUGUAAAGCUCUAUCAGCAGGGAAGAAAAUGACGGUACCUGAGUAAGAAGCUCCGGCUAACUACGUGCCAGCAGCCGCGGUAAUACGUAUGGAGCAAGCGUUAUCCGGAUUUACUGGGCGUAAAGGGAGCGUAGGCGGGCUGGCAAGUCUGAUGUGAAAUACCUGGGCUCAACCCAGGGGCUGCAUUAGAAACUGGAAUGCUGGAGUGCUGGAGAGGCAGGCGGAAUUCCGAGUGUAGCGGUGAAAUGCGUAGAUAUUAGGAGGAACACCAGUGGCGAAGGCGGCCUGCUGGACGGUAACUGACGCUGAGGCUCGAAAGCGUGGGGAGCAAACAGGAUUAGAUACCCCAGUAGUC
rnacentral:rRNA from 1 species